CGCAAGCCUGACGGAGCAAGACCGCGUGCGGGAUGACGGCCUAAUGGUUGUAAACCGCUUUUCUCUGGGAAGAAGCCCUGACGGUACCAGAGGAAUCAGCCUCGGCUAACUCCGUGCCAGCAGCCGCGGUAAUACGGAGGAGGCAAGCGUUAUCCGGAAUUAUUGGGCGUAAAGCGUCCGCAGGGGGCACAUCAAGUCUGCUGUUAAAGGCUGGAGCUUAACUCCGGUAGAGCAGUGGAAACUGGUGUGCUAGAGGGCGACAGGGGUAGAGGGAAUUCCCAGUGUAGCGGUGAAAUGCGUAAAGAUUGGGAAGAACACCGGUGGCGAAAGCGCUCUACUGGGUCGCACCUGACCCUCAGGGACGAAAGCUAAGGUAGCG
rnacentral:rRNA from 1 species